UGAUAUCAGGAGAGAAAGGAGCAGAGAGAGGGGAGAGGCUUCCAGACUGUCAAACUUGAAACCUCAUCUCGUCACCCGUGCUGCCGUCUUCGGUGCGCGUUGUCGUCAUCCGUCUGUUCGCCCGCCGUCCUUCCCCUUCUCUCAUGAAUUCGAGUUGCUGCUGCUUUUCUCACCUUGUUUGGCCUGGCCGUUCCCUUGGUUUGCUUGGUCGACGCCUUCAGCAGAUGCAAGGAGGAGAGUUGCUCAUUUUGUUUCCUUCUUUCUGGCUGUGAUUGUGGUGUGCGAUUGAAGCUGGGGGUGUGCCGAACGUGCAAGCCCUUUCUUCCUCCUUUGUUGUUGCUGAAUGUUGUGUGGGUGUGGAUAGUGCAGUUGAUCUUGUUACUUUUGAUCAUCACUAAAGAUCCUUACCGCUGGCUUGUAGUUGAAGUGUCGCUUGAAAGGUUCUGAAUUUAAUGUAAAACCUUAAUUCUUGUACAUAUUUGUGAAUCUUGUUUUAGGUGCUUAUUGUGGUCUAUAGGGAGAUGUCUAUCCUCUUUUAUCAUUUUGAAUGGAUGGAUAUAUCUAUGUAUUGUUGUAGAGUGGGGCUCCGUAUAUAUUGUGCUAUACUUGCAGGCUAUUUGUAGAAUUUUUGGGGUGUUUGACUAGGAGAUUCUGCUGAGACUUCUAUUAACGACUUUGCAUUUUAACUAUAAGAAAUCUGAUCUUACCUGAUUUAAAAUUUAUACAUGCA